GAGGAGGUGAGAGUCUCUGUCCAGCAUGGAUGACAGCUUGUCUGUAUUCCUCCUCUCCCCAGCCUCCUUCACAAGAUCCAGAGGGCAUCCCAGGACAGAGCUGGCCUUCCUUAUAAGUUUGUCCAGCCUCUUCCUGUCAGCUGCUGCUCUGCCCAGCAGACCACUCCAUAGGAAAUGCAGAGGCCACCAGAGUCAUAGAAGGUCUUCAGGAGUGCCCCCCGCACUCCAAAAGACCUCAGCUCUCUGAGCAGAUAGAGUCUGCCCUGUCCUUCUUUGUAAAGUGCGUUGGUGUUAUGAGUCCAGUCCAGUUUAUUCUUCAGAUGAAUACCCAGGUAUGUAUAAGACGUCACCAUCUCAAAGUCUCUACCCUGAAUGUUCACUGGGGAUGGGGGGGGGGGGGUUCUCUAGCACCACUCCACAAAGUCCCAGACAAGUUCUCUGUAUGCCCAGUCGUCCCCGUCAAUGAUGAGGUCGGCAAUGGCAGAGUCAUCUGACUUCUGCAGGUGGUAGAUGGGUGACAGGUGGGAGAAGUCUGUAGUGUAGAGGAUGAAGAGGAAUGGUGCCAGUACAGUUCCAUGGGGUCCCCUAUACUACAGACGGCCGUCUUCAACACACAUACACUUUCAGCUGAUUCAUCCUAAACCAGCUGAACCUUCCUCAUUUGAUUUCAAUUGGACAAACUUGCUUACAUGCAUUUAAAAAGUCCAGUUUCAGUCAGUCAGGCUAUUGCAAUAAAUCGAUUUUUUAAAGUGAAUACAAACUUAUUGUAUGAAUAGCACUAGUUUACAAAGCCGUUCUCUGCACCCAAGUUCAUUUCGGGCAAAUCUUACCAUGCCACAGUAAAAAUACUUAAUAUCUUAAUAUCUAAAAGCUUGAUCAUGCCAGACCUAGUAUGUACCCAUGGAUAUUUUUCCUCAUUCUUUAGUCUUUGUUUGGACAUUUUGUUUUCACUCUGCAAGCACAAGCUCCCACAUAAGUAGAGCUUUCACUCCUCUUCUUCAUGUGUGCGCUGUACUUUGUCCUUCCACCUCUGUGGCGUCUGUUUGGCUGACCGCUCUCCAUUCUUGGCUGGCCAACAGGAAACAGAAGAAGCAGAACACAGCCAAAUCCUCAGAGUGGUAGGAGGUUGAGUAUUGGGUGAUGAAUUGCCAGACUGGAGAAAGGGAGGGCUAUGAAAGUGGGUGAAAGAUAUAUUAUGGGAGGUGUAGGAAAGGCAGUAAAAGUUCCCUGAAACACAGCAGAAACGAUAAGCAAAGAACUAGCGUAAGUUUUGCUGUAGCAGUCUAUGACUUAAUCCCUUCAGCCCAUCCCAGUCCCUUUUUUGGCUGGACUGGGUCAUGGUUUCCAGGUUGCUGACCCUGAACUGGAACAAACUGCUAGAUUUUACAGAGACAGUGAGUCGGUAAAACAGCUGGUAACAGACAGUCUUUACGAGAAAGUGCGGUUUGUGCUUGCUGUAUAAUUAGCUGCCCUACCAUUGGAGCCAUCCUUUCAAAACAAGCGAGUUUAAAGACUUGUCACAAGUUUGUUUAUGAAAUGGAAAUCCCCUCUUGGUUGGUCUUACUCUAUAAGAUUAAGAGAUAUCUCCUCUGUGUUUGGAUUCUCGAUGAUAACCUCAGCCAACCUCCCAUCUCAAAUCAGCUCUCGAUCUUAACUCACAAAAUGUCUUGACAAAACUAUGUGGUUGUCAAAGAAAAUUGUUGGUAUCAUUUUUGAGGUUUUUGGUUCAGACCAUGCCGGCUGGGCCUCUGAAUUACCCAGAACACCCCCAGAUGUAAGAUCUCACAGUGGGUGCCCCACUCAUUCAUCUGGAAAGAAGAGUUUUUUUCUUCGAACUCUAAGAGAGUGACAGAGAGGAUAUAAAAAAAAAAAAUCCAGUUAUUUUUUUAGAUAUUUCAAGCUCUAAAUUUGUUUUUAUUAAGCUCUGGAUUUGCUUUAGUAUUUGUGUGGAGGUUGGCAAAAAGUAAAUGAAGGAAAGUAAAUAUUUUAAGUUUUAUUAGCUUAUCUUAUGAUGACAUAUGCAUUUGGAGUUCUGUCUGUCUUUUUGAUGCAGUUUAUCAGCUGAGAAAGAUAAGGCUGCUCGACCUUCACAGUAGGGUUCAAAUAUGGUAUGUUUUGCAGCUGAACAAUGUUUGUUUGAAAAGAGGGGUGGGCAAAAAUGGCCCCCUUUAAAGACAAGGUUCCUCAUUAUCACCAUCAGUUUUUUUUCUUUUUAUAUAGCACCAAAGUAUUAUCCCAUGAUGCUUACCAAAAAAGCUGGUCUAGACCAUACUCUGUUUAUAAUGACCCACUGAAAUGAAUGGAUAAGCUUGAGCCCCAUCUCCAACCACACGAGUGAAGCAUUUUCCAGCACUCAUCAAGUUACAGUGGAGAGGAAACACUUUCUCGAACAGGCAGAAACCUUGAGCAGAACCAGAUUCGUGUUAGACAGUCAUCUGCUGAGACAGAGCUGGGUUUAGAGAGGGAAGAGAGGAAGAUGGAGAGAGAGAAAGAGUGAGAGAUGGAUAGAAGAGAGACUGGUGGAGGGAGAUGCACUCGUAAAGUGCUUUCAAACAGUUUUCCGCAGUAAGAGCUGUAAUGACUGUAACUUUGCCUUGGAUAAACCAGAUUAGAGUCACUGAGAGGAGUUUCUUUUCUAGUGUUGAUUCUGUCCUCCUGGGAUAAAGACUGCAUUCCCCAUGAGCACCGUUGCCUACUAUCCUUCCCAGCGCGUGCAUUUGAAGUGGAAGCAAAUGAAUGGAAUACAGGUUAUGUUUUUAAUGCAGCUUUUCUUGGUUCAAAAAUCUUUUUGCAGGAUGCAGGGGGAUGAGGCAAUGUAAUGAGGUCACUGUUACUCUCAGCUGGAGGGGUGAGCAGGGAGUGUUCAGUCUCGAAUCUGGGAUAUGGCAAAAUAUUCUCAUUCUGUGCACUGUGCCUUUAAAUGCCUGGGCUCAAAUGCAGGGUAUCCAGAGUUAUAGACCUUUUUCAUUACAUUUUUAACUGGCCUUUUGAAACACCAAACACCCCCCAAAAAAAAGAAAAAAAUCAAGGCGACUGUCAGCUGGCUGUUUUUAUGAAUUCAACAAGGUCAUUCUUAUGUGAGCAACUUUAUGACUGUUUUUGCAUUUUAAAAAAUCUCUUACCUAAAAAUGUCUUAUCUCUCUGGGGACCGCUCUGUGCUGUUGAGUUCAAAUAAAAUGAAAAUACCAUUUUGAAGUAUUACAGAGAAAAAAAUAUGCGUAAGAGAUACAAAGACUAAUCUGUAUCUCUUAAACAUAAUCCCCAUUACAUGACGAGCACAUAUUUUCUUCUGCUUGUCUCAUCUUCUCUCCCAAAUUAUCUUAACAGAGCAUCAUCAUCUUAUCAGAGAUUGAUGGAGAAUCAGAUUUGAGUCUGGAAGAGAUAUGGGUUUGUGUUAAUGACAGCAGUAUUCAAAGUGUCAGCAUGAUUUAGGGACUGCAGUUGGGAGUUUAUGAGAGGUGAUAAAAUGUAGUUAUUUCUGGUGCUGAAGGAAAAGCAGUUGUUGCUGUCCAGAAAGUGAGUCAUGGACAGAGGGGUGCAAAAUGUGGAUUGAAGAGAGAAGGAGGGAAAUAGCUGACCUGAAUUUGUGUUUGGGUGGUGACAGUUUCCUCAUGCUACAUUAAACUCUGUGUUAUAAAACCUCAACAAAGAGACACAGUGUUUAAGUGGUGAAAUGGUGGGCCUGGAUAAAUAGUGUGACUAGUUUGACCAACUUUAUUUAAUUGAACUUGUGCCAAUUUAUUUAACCACUCGAGCAACAAUUGAAGUCAAAUCUUUCAAAACUAAUGAAAAAAUACAAAACUGGUGUUUGUUUUAAAGGUCCCCUAUUAUGAAAAACCCACUUUUGGGUGGUUUUCAACCAAUAAUAUGAAUCCCCUCGAAGCCGACCCCCCCAACUUGAAAAAAAAUAAUUCUCUCCCUCUCUUGUUUUCCCCUCCUUUCUGAAAAUGGGCAAAUGGAAAAGCUGUGCGGUUAUGACAACAUAACCACAUAAGCCCCUCCUACAUGUUGGAGGCAGCGUCCCUGAUAAUUAUUAGCCCAGCCCUCUAAAACUUCUUUGCUGAUGUAGCGUCCACCAUUUUGGCCCUCACAUUCACCGCUCCGGUACAACGACUAUGUCUAAGCUACGACCCAGCCGCUGUGUGAUUCUUGGCUGCACAAACGAAGACAGGAUUUCUUCCUCCUUCGUCAGAAGAUUUAAGGACCCAGUGGAUUAAUUUUAUUUUGAUGGAAAUGUACCCACAACAACUCAGAAAUUGUUGUAUGUGUGUGCUAACCAUUUCAACACGGACUGUGUUACCCACAGGGGCAGGAUGUGCUAAGAAGCUGAAGAUAAAACCUGGAUCCGUACCGACUGUCCGUGUCAGGGACCCAACUUCAGUUAAGUUUUACCAUUUUAUGUUGCUUUACCACUGCCCAUAUAACUAGUGCUUUGGCUACAAUCGUGUGUUUUCCAUUGUUGGUAUUCGUCUUUGAACGUGCUUCUGUUCACUUUUAUUCCUGUGAGCAGCGGGUGUUCCUCGGGGGCGCAGAGGCAGGCUGGUGAUUCCAACUGCGGUGGUCUGGAGGUCCUCUGAAGAGGUCCUCAGAAAAUCUCCAGACCACCGCUCCUGGACCACCGCGGUGGUGCUGGCAGUUCAGAGUGGCCUUGGGGAGGACGAUAGGGAUGGGCACGGCAGUUCUUUCAGAUGUACCGAAUCACUAGAAUCAGUUCACUAAAAAGAUUCGUUUACAGAAUCAUUCAGUGCUUGGCGGGAGGAGCCUGUGACUCUGA
rnacentral:lncRNA from 1 species